rnacentral:misc_RNA from 1 species
GAAAUGCGAUAAGUAGUGUGAAUUGCAGAAUUUAGUGAAUCAUCGAAUCUUUGAACGCACAUUGCGCCCCUUGGUACUCCGAGGGGCAUGCCUGUUCGAGCGUCAUUACACCCUCAAGCCCUGCUUGGUGUUGGGCGUCUGUCCCCGGUUUCCGGGGACUCGCCUCAAAAACAUUGGGAACUAUCGAAGCUGGCCCGGAUUUAGGCAGUACAUGCAGGUAAACCUUGCCAGCACCGCGGUAGCUCUCCCACCAAUCACCCCCCAGUUUGACCUCGGAUCAGGUAGGGAUACCCGCUGAACUUAA